GACGAACGCUGGCGGCGUGCUUAACACAUGCAAGUCGAACGGAAAGGCCCUGCUUUUGUGGGGUGCUCGAGUGGCGAACGGGUGAGUAACACGUGAGUAACCUGCCCUUGACUUUGGGAUAACUUCAGGAAACUGGGGCUAAUACCGGAUAGGAGCUCCUGCUGCAUGGUGGGGGUUGGAAAGUUUCGGCGGUUGGGGAUGGACUCGCGGCUUAUCAGCUUGUUGGUGGGGUAGUGGCUUACCAAGGCUUUGACGGGUAGCCGGCCUGAGAGGGUGACCGGCCACAUUGGGACUGAGAUACGGCCCAGACUCCUACGGGAGGCAGCAGUGGGGAAUAUUGCACAAUGGGCGGAAGCCUGAUGCAGCAACGCCGCGUGCGGGAUGACGGCCUUCGGGUUGUAAACCGCUUUCGCCUGUGACGAAGCGUGAGUGACGGUAAUGGGUAAAGAAGCACCGGCUAACUACGUGCCAGCAGCCGCGGUGAUACGUAGGGUGCGAGCGUUGUCCGGAUUUAUUGGGCGUAAAGGGCUCGUAGGUGGUUGAUCGCGUCGGAAGUGUAAUCUUGGGGCUUAACCCUGAGCGUGCUUUCGAUACGGGUUGACUUGAGGAAGGUAGGGGAGAAUGGAAUUCCUGGUGGAGCGGUGGAAUGCGCAGAUAUCAGGAGGAACACCAGUGGCGAAGGCGGUUCUCUGGGCCUUUCCUGACGCUGAGGAGCGAAAGCGUGGGGAGCGAACAGGCUUAGAUACCCUGGUAGUCCACGCUGUAAACGGUGGGUACUAGGUGUGGGGUCCAUUCCACGGGUUCCGUGCCGUAGCUAACGCUUUAAGUACCCCGCCUGGGGAGUACGGCCGCAAGGCUAAAACUCAAAGGAAUUGACGGGGCCCCGCACAAGCGGCGGAGCAUGCGGAUUAAUUCGAUGCAACGCGUAGAACCUUACCUGGGUUUGACAUGGAUCGGGAGUGCUCAGAGAUGGGUGUGCCUCUUUUGGGGUCGGUUCACAGGUGGUGCAUGGCUGUCGUCAGCUCGUGUCGUGAGAUGUUGGGUUAAGUCCCGCAACGAGCGCAACCCUUGUUCACUGUUGCCAGCACGUUAUGGUGGGGACUCAGUGGAGACCGCCGGGGUCAACUCGGAGGAAGGUGGGGAUGACGUCAAGUCAUCAUGCCCCUUAUGUCCAGGGCUUCACGCAUGCUACAAUGGCUGGUACAGAGAGUGGCGAGCCUGUGAGGGUGAGCGAAUCUCGGAAAGCCGGUCUCAGUUCGGAUUGGGGUCUGCAACUCGACCUCAUGAAGUCGGAGUCGCUAGUAAUCGCAGAUCAGCAACGCUGCGGUGAAUACGUUCUCGGG
rnacentral:rRNA from 1 species